rnacentral:lncRNA from 1 species
AGCAAUGCUCAUCACAUAAACAUGAAGUUUCCUCCAAAAGGAAUGAUGACUAAUGCUUUGAGGAAACAGCAGACGUCAGACAGCAAGCCCAGAAAAACCUGCCAGCACCAAGAGGGUGUCCUCAACAGGCGCCUGGGGGACAUAUUAUUCUAACUAAAGAGACCAGAGCUUCCCCAGGAAGGGAAGAGGAGAGAAAUGAAGAACGUCUGUGUUCAUGUUUGCCAAAAACAAAAGUCUGAGAAAUCUCUGAGAGACUCUACAUGGGAGCAUCAAGCACAAAUGAUGAUCUCCUAGGACAGUGGCAGCUUCUGAGAAUGCACAGGAAAGUGACCAGGGAAAGAAUGAUUCCAUCUCCAGGAAUCCCUGGUGAUCUUCAGAGCCCAGACAGGACCCUGCUGGGCCAUGGUAACUGAGAAACUGAGAAGCAGAUACAGUGGUCCCUAUGUUGGCAACCUCAGCUGAAGAGGAACAACUCUCUCUAUAAUCAAGACUUAAUCUUGGCCUGGUGUGCCUCAUUUUUAUAGGACUUCUGAAACCAGAAAUCACCAGCGUGGGGAGAGAACAUUAAAGGCAGAGGUGUCUCUUAUAAGCACAACGUGUGACCAGAACUUGGAUUACUGUCAGCUUCUAGUGUCUCCAUCAUUCAUAAUUGCACUGUGUUGGUCCACCCACUUUACUCCUAAAGAAGAGGUAAGAAACAGAAGAGGAGAUCACAGUGGCUCUUCAACUAUUAAUAUACCACAGACUUCAAUAACAAAUGAAGAGAAACAAGAAAAGAAAGCAAUGCAAAAAGAACGGUACUGCCCUCUUUCUCUCCUGAACCAUCAAUAAAUCAAGGGUAGAUAAUAGCCUAAA